rnacentral:rRNA from 1 species
UACGAAGGGUGCUAGCGUUGUUCGGAAUCACUGGGCGUAAAGCGUGCGUAGGCGGCUUUGCAAGUCAGAGGUGAAAUGCCGGGGCUUAACCCCGGAACUGCCUUUGAAACUGCAUGGCUGGAGUAUUGGAGGGGUCAGGGGAAUUCCUAAUGUAGUGGUGAAAUACGUAGAUAUUAGGAGGAACACCGGUGGCGAAGGCGCCUGACUGGACAAUAACUGACGCUGAGGCACGAAAGCGUGGGGAUCAAACAGG